rnacentral:rRNA from 1 species
CCCGACUGCUAUUUGGGUGAGAAUAAGCCAUGCAAGUCGAAUGGAAUACCAAAAUAUUCCAUGGCAAACUGCUCAAUAACACGUGAUCAACUUACCCUAUGGAAAACAAUAACCUCUGGAAACGGAGGAUAAUGGUUUAUAGUUGAAAAGGCUUGGAAAAGUUUUUCAAUAAAAGGGAAUAAUAAAAAUGGUUAUUAUUUUGCCAUAGGAUAGGAUUGCGGUCGAUAUGGCUGUUGGUGAGGUAAUGGCUCACCAAACCAAUAAUCGAUAGGGGCCGUGAGAGCGGGAGCCCCGAGAUGGGUACUGAGACAACGACCCAGGCCUUACGAGGUGCAGCAGGCGCGAAAACUCCGCAAUACACGAAAGUGUGACGGGGUUACCCAAAGUGCUUAAUUUUUAAGCUGUGGUAAGUGUGUAAUGUACCUUACUAGAAAGGAGAGGGCAAGGCUGGUGCCAGCCGCCGCGGUAAAACCAGCUCUUCAAGUGGUCGGGAUAUUAUUGGGCUUAAAGUGUCCGUAGCUUGUAUAAUAAGUUCCUGGUAAAAUCUAAUAGCUUAACUAUUAGUAUGCUAGGAAUACUGUUAUACUAGAGGGCGGGAGAGGUUUGAGGUACUUCAGGGGUAGGGGUGAAAUCCUAUAAUCCUUGAAGGACCACCAGUGGCGAAGGCGUCAGACUGGAACGCGCCUGACAGUGAGGGACGAAAGCCAGGGGAGCGAACCGGAUUAGAUACCCGGGUAGUCCUGGCCGUAAACGAUGCACACUAGGUGUUGGUAUGGCUAUGAGCCAUAUCAGUGCCGAAGGGAAACCAUUAAGUGUGCCGCCUGGGAAGUACGGUCGCAAGGCUAAAACUUAAAGGAAUUGGCGGGGGAGCACCACAAGGGGUGAAGCCUGCGGUUCA